UACAGAGGUCCCAAGCGUUGUUCGGAUUCACUGGGCGUAAAGGGUGCGUAGGCGGGUUUUUAAGUCAGAGGUGAAAUCCUGGAGCUCAACUCCAGAACUGCCUUUGAUACUGAGAAUCUUGAGUAUGGGAGAGGUGAGUGGAACUGCGAGUGUAGAGGUGAAAUUCGUAGAUAUUCGCAAGAACACCAGUGGCGAAGGCGGCUCACUGGCCCGAUACUGACGCUGAGGCACGGAAAGCGUGGGGAGCAAACAGG
rnacentral:rRNA from 1 species